UACGUAGGGGGCAAGCGUUGUCCGGAUUUAUUGGGCGUAAAGAGCGUGUAGGCGGCCAUACAGGUCAGCUGUGAAAACUCGAGGCUCAACCUCGAGACGUCGGUUGAAACCGUAUGGCUAGAGUCCGGAAGAGGAGAGUGGAAUUCCCGGUGUAGCGGUGAAAUGCGCAGAUAUCGGGAAGAACACCUAUGGCGAAGGCAGCUCUCUGGGACGGUACUGGACGCUGAGACGCGAAAGCGUUGGGGAGCGAACAGG
rnacentral:rRNA from 1 species